UCUUAGUGGCGAACGGGUGAGUAACGCGUAAUCAACCUGCCCUUCAGAGGGGGAUAACAACGGGAAACCGUUGCUAAUACCGCGUACGAUAUGCUUUCGGCAUCGAGAGCAUAUGAAAGGUGGCCUCUAUAUAUAAGCUAUCGCUGAAGGAGGGGAUUGCGUCUGAUUAGCUAGUUGGAGGGGUAACGGCCCACCAAGGCGAUGAUCAGUAGCCGGUCU
rnacentral:rRNA from 1 species